ensembl:lncRNA
AUUAAUUAAUUAUUUUUUUAUUUAAAUAAUACAUACUUACCCAGAAAAGCCUUAAUACCUACCCAAUACUUACCUGAAUACCUGAGAUCCAAACCGCCGUGUGCCCGGUGUGUCGCUGCUCUGGAGAAGACCUGUGCGUAAUAUUUUUUGCCCGCUCCUGUUGGACGCUGGAAACAAACACAAGCAACAUCCACAACCACUCAACCACCUACUCCUGAAGAGCAAGUUUCUAUACCCUAUUUUUUUUCUAUAGAAAUAAAUCCCUCCUCAAACCCUUACCCUAAAGAUUGUCCAUAUCCUGUUUCCAAUCCUACCCCCUAAACCGUUUUCGUAUCCCCUACCCCCUAAACCGUUUUCGUAUCCCCUACCCAACCCUACCCCUAAACCAGGUUCGUAUCCCCUACCCAACCCUACCCCCUAACCCAGGUUCGUAUCCCCUACCCAACCCUUCCCCCUAAACCAGGUUCGUAUCCCUUACCCAACCCUACCCCCUAAACCAGGUUUGUAUCGCUUACCCAACCCUACCCCCUAAACCUGGUUCAAAUCCCCUACCCAACCCUAACCUGGGUUCAUAUCCCCUACCCAACACUAUCCCCUAAACCAGGUUUGUAUCCCCUACCCAACACCUCCCUCCCUCCUGAUUUUAGUUUUACCUUUUGUCUUUUUUCUUUACAUUUAAUUAUCCAAUAAAGCUUGUUUUCAUAAAGGUCAAGUCGCUGAAGACAAAAGGAGAACUGCAAACACCCCUGAGAAGAGGGGUAGAAAAGGGUUACAAGCCCAAGUCUCUUAUGUCCUCCAGUUUAAAUAAAAGAGCUCUGUACUAUCCAUUCAAACCCCAGUCCUACCUACCUACAGGUUAUGGAACAUUUGCUAUUUUAGUAUUUGUCCAGUAGGUUUCCUCGAGGUGGAUAAAAACACUUCUAUGUUAAUGAUUACGCUCUCGUUGGCUGGCCCUCGCUUCAUACUCGUUGCCAAACCCACUGGCUCCAGGUCAUCUACAAGUCUCUGCUAGGUAAAGCCCCGCCUUAUCUCAGCUCACUGGUCACCAUAGCAGCACCCACCUGUAGCACACGCUCCAGUGGGUAUAUCUCACUGGUCACCCCCAAAGCCAAUUCCCCCUUUGGUCGUCUUUCCUUCCAGUUCUCUGCUGCCAAUGACUGGAACGAGCUGCAAAAAUCUCUGAAGCUGAAGACUCAUAUCUCCCUCACUAGCUUUAAGCACCAGCUGUCAGAGCAGCUCACAGAUCACUGCACCUGUACAUAGCCCAUCUGUAAACAGCCCAUCUAUCUACCUACCUCAUCCCCAUACAGUAUUUAUUUAUUUAUUUAUCUUGCUCCUUUGCACCCCA